GUGUCAGCCGCCGCGGUAAUACGUAGGGUGCGAGCGUUAAUCGGAAUUACUGGGCGUAAAGCGUGUGCAGGCGGUUUGUUAAGACAGGUGUGAAAUCCCCGGGCUUAACCUGGGAAUUGCGCUUGUUACUGGCAGACUAGAGUGCGUCAGAGGGAGGUGGAAUUCCACGUGUAGCAGUGAAAUGCGUAGAGAUGUGGAGGAACACCGAUGGCGAAGGCAGCCUCCUGGGAUGACACUGACGCUCAUACACGAAAGCGUGGGGAGCAAACAGGAUUAGAAACCCUCGUAGUCC
rnacentral:rRNA from 1 species